rnacentral:misc_RNA from 1 species
GCUGGCAUUGCCAUUAGUGCCUUAACCAAAAUGCGAGCAACAAUUUGAGUGCUUAGUCGCUCUGGUUCAAACUGAUAGAGGCGAAGAAGGCAUAGAUUUGCAUCCAGACUGUAUGUUUGUGACGAAACCUGUUCAUUAACGUAGUUUUCGAGAUCUGGGAGGAUGUCUGGAUUGUAGGGAUUGACGGUUACGAGCUGCUCGACUGUGAAGGAGACUUGCUGCUGCAUCUUUUGAGUGUCUCUCUCCCUUCCCAUUUUGCCUUUCGUUUCUAUGAUUCAGAUACUUCUGCUAUUCGUUUGCUUCGAUGCUCUUCGCUUGAAUAUACACUCCUCCGUCCGAAGUCCCAAGCUUUAGCUGCGCGUGCCGGAGAGAGAACUACAAGGGCUUUAGCUUCACUGUGUCACAGGGAU